CGGGACACACCUUCGGAUAACACCAUCCGUGCAGAUCUUGAACAAGUACGGCUCAUCCCAAUAGAAUUCCAAACUAUCCUGUUUGAGCUUCUUCCUUUGGUUAGAAGAUAGCUUACACGAGAUUAUACCAGUCACAAGGAAAUUAGCAAUAUAUUCAAACCAUGGCACACCAUUCACCGACACAGAAAGGAGUUCCUCAUCGAGAAAUGCAUCAUUGAUCUCUAGGCCAUCACGAGGACUUCCCUCCUCCUCCAAGUAGGAAAAAUGGUCUGCCACUUGGUUUUCACUACCCUUUCGGUCCAUAAUCUCCAAGUCAAACUCUUGAAGUAACAAGACCCAUUGCAUCAGCCUAGCUUUGGAAUCCUUCUUCGUCAACAAGUACCGGAAUGCGUCAUGAUCGGUAUGAACUAUGACCUUGGCACCCAUGAGAUACAUUCGAAAUUUCUCCAUUGCGAACACAAUAUCCAAAAGCUCUUUUUCAGUCACCGUGUAGUUCACUUGAGCAUCAUUCAUUGUCUUGCUCACGUAGUAUACCGAAUGAAACAUUUUGUUCACUCUUUGACCCAAAAUCGCCCCAACCGCAACAUCACUCGCGUCACACAUAAGCUCGAAAGGCAAGCUUCAAUUAGGUGCGAUAAUAAUAGGAGUGGUAGUCAACUUAUGCUUGGGAAGUUAAAAGACUUACAUACAUCCCUCAUUGAACACGAACUUGGCAUCUUUUCCCAAUAACUUGCACAAGGGAUUCACUACCUUCGAAAAAUCCUUUAUAAAUCUCCGGUAGAACCGCGCAUGCCUAAGAAAACUUCUAACUCCCUUUACUGAAGUAAGGGAAGAGAGCCUUGAAAUCACUUCAAUUUUUGCUUUGUCCACAUCUAUACCAUGCUUUGAAAUUUUAUGGCCAAGGACUAUGCCCUCCUCAACCAUGAAGUGGAAUUUCUCCCAAUUAAGCACAAGAUUGGUUUCUUCACAAUGGGCCAACAAUCUAUCAAGAUUUUUCAAACAUUCAUCAAACGAGUCACCUACAACACUGAAGUUGUCCAUGAACACCUCCAAAAUUUCCUUCACCAUGUCGGUAAAAGUAGCCAUGAUAGACCGCUGAAAUGUAGCCGGUGCAUUACACAACCCAAACGGCAUCCUAGAAAAGGCAAAGGUCCCAUAUGGACAAGUGAAGGUGGUCUUCUCCUGAUCUUCCGAAGCAAUCAAAAUUUGGUUGUACCCAAAAUACCUAUCCAAGAAACAGUAGAAGGCACGCCCAACAAGUCUGUCUAGCAUCUGAUCAAGAAAAGGCAAUGGGAAGUCUUCCUAUUAUCAAGAUCCAAAGAGAGUUUCUGAGGCUCAUAAGAGUAAGAGCCCAUUCCAUGUAAAGCAUUGACACACUCUACUCGGCCUUCAUUCUCAUUUACAUCAAGAUUCAACAAUACCACCUCAAGAGGGUCCUCCACAUUGAUCAUUGCACUAGUAUCAUCAACUAUCACUACCGUGACAAGAUCCACAAAAAAGCACACUUCAGAACUGUUGGGCUGCUUCAUUGACUUGCAUACAUGAAAGACCACUUUCUCAUCACCCACCCAGAAGUUGAUUUCCCCUGCUUCCACAUCAACUAAGGCCUUUGCAGUAGCAAGGAAAGGUCUUCCCAAUAUGAUCAGAACUUCAUAAUCUACCUCACAAUCCAAGAUCACAAAAUCAAUCAGCAAGAUAUAUUUGUCCACCCAGACAAGAACAUCAUCAAUUAUACCCAAAGGUCUCUUCAUUGUUCUAUCCGACAUUUACAAUCUCAUGGAAGUCGGCCUUGGUUGCCUAAUACCCAAAGUCUUGAAAACAGAGUAGGGCAUCAAAUUGAUACUUUCCCCCAAAUUACAUAGAGCUUUUUCAAAAUCUGCACUCCCAAUGGUGUAAGGGAUGAUGAAAGCACCGGGGUCUUCUAGCUUUGGAGCCAUUGAGUGUACUAUUGCACUAACUUGGUAGGUCAUCCUGAUAGUCUCACAAUCCAUGUAUCUUUUCUUUGUCACAAAAUCUUUCAUGAAUUUAGCAUAACCCUGCAUUUGCUCUAGAGCCUCCACCAAAGGCACAUUGAUGGACAAGCUCUUCAUCAUAUCAAUAAACUUCUUAAACUGGUUCUCAUUUUUCUGCUUCGCGAGCCUUUGAGGAUAAUGUGGAGGUGGCCUUGGAAAAGGAGCCUAGGCUUUAGGCAUAACUAUUUCCGGCAUGUCUAUUACGUGUUCCCUAGAUGGGUUCACGUCAUUUUGAGUUUCCACCUCAGCAUCUUGGAUAUCAAUCCUCACUUCCUCAUUCACCUUUUUAUCAAUCACAUUUUCAACCACCAAAGGGAUCUCAUCCUCUUGCAACUCAACUUCAUCACUCAAAAUUUCUUGUUGUUUGGAGGCAUUCACAUCACCGCCUCGUCCACUUCUUGUAGUUACUGCCAUUACAUGUUCGGAAUUGUUCCCACCCUUCGGGUUUACUACCCUAUCACUAGGUAGAGCCCCCUUAGGGCGAGUAUUCAAGGAUUGAGAGAUUUGGCCUAAUUGAACCUCCAAAUUUUUGAUUGAAGUAUUGUGGGAUGCCAACUGGCAUUAGAGUCAGCAUUAUUUUUCAUAAUCUAUCCAAACAUCAUUUCAAUUCUCCCCAUUUCAUUGUUAGACGAACUAGGACAUUGGGAUAGAAAUGGGGGUAGAUUGUUCGGUUGUUGAUACAUUGGGAGCCUUUGAAAGCCUUGCCCCUGAUUUCCAUUGUUCCAACCACCCUGAUUGUUAUUUCCACCCUAGUUAUUGUUGUUGCCAUUCCAAUUACCCUGAUUGUUCUGAUUGCCCCAAUUUGCAUUUUGGUUGUUGUUCCCCUAAUUACUAUUCCCUUGUUGUUGAUUUCCCCAAUUGCCUUGGUGUCUCCAUUGUUAUUGGUUGGAAGAAUUGCCCCUUUGGCCUUGAUAAUUGUUCACAUAUUGCACUUCUUCAUUUUGCUCAUCAUAACCAUCAUCUUGGAAUUCAUCACUAUCAUUGUCAUAUUGAUCUGAACUCCCUUGGUUCCGUUGACCUCUUUGUCUUCUUUUGUUCACUAACAUGUUGACACCCUCCAUAGCAUUUACCUGUCGUUGAUUUUGAACCUGCUGUAACUGUGCAUUUGCUAGCUGGUUCAUUGUUGUUGUCAGCUAUGCUAUUGCCUACCCAUGAUCAUAGAGCUCUUUGUGCAAGUGAGUGACCGUGGGGUCACCCUAUGGCAUAUUGGCUCUACUUCGCCAAACGGAGGACGUAUCAGCCAUCUCAUUAAGAAUGUCACAAGCCUCAUCUCAAGGCAGCUUCAUGAAAUUACUCCCGGUAAGUUGGUUCACUAUGCACUGAUUUUUUGUGUUAAUGCCCCGGUAGAAUGUCUGUUGUAUCAUUGCCUCAAUCAUAUCAUUGUUGGGACAUUCCUUUACCAUGGUUCGGUAUCUCUCCCAUAUCUCAUGUAAUGGUUAGUAAGGCUCCUGCUUGAAAGCUAAGAUCUCAUCCCUCAAUGGUGCCAUAUGUCUCGGCGUUAUCUUCCAACUCAUCCCAAGUAGUGAUGGAAUGGUUGGGAAGCCUUUCAAGACAGUCCAAAACCUUCACUCUAAGUGAGAAAGGGAAUAAUCUCAACCGAAGUACAUCCUCGGACACAUUUGUUUGCUUGCUCCCCCAACAGGUAUCCACGAAACCCUUAAGAUGUUUGUAAGCAUUUUGAUGGGGAGCACCUGUGAAAUACCCUCGCUACUCUAACAAUGUUAGCAUCACAUUUGUAUUUGAAAAUUGCCCGCCCGGAUCCGGGGUGGGACAAUUGCACUAGCAUAUCCUUGGUUGGGAAGCACUCAAGGAUCCACUCUUGGAGGUGGCGGGGUAGGGUCUAGAACAUUAUCAUUGGCCUGGUGGCCUCUCCUUUGUCCUUGAGGUACUAUAGGAACCCAUCAUCAAUAUUGUCAUCUACCUCCUACCCCGCUAGUGAUCAGGUCCAGCCCUACACCACUACAAAGUGGCAAGAGCGGUUGAUGCAACUUUUACCUGAGAUGGUCGGGAUUGAAUCCACAGGGAGCUAGAAUUGGGAAUUGGAUUCCUAUCUAAAUUAGAAAUGCGCAGUGCUCUUAAUUAUACUUCUAAUCAUAAUUGUUCGUUUGUUACUUCUAAUUUUAUACUAAUUAAGANNNNNNNNNNNNNNNNNNNNNNNNNNNNNNNNNNNNNNNNNNNNNNNNNNNNNNNNNNNNNNNNNNNNNNNNNNNNNNAUCUAAAGCCUAAGGCAAAGAUGUUAUGUUGGGGAUUGCGAUAUAGUCAAUGCUCGGAAUUACUCACUCUAUACCUCUUGGUAGCUUGAGUGACUUUGACCUAAUUGACUUUCUCAAGACCAUUUGGGUGUCAAAAUUGUGCAAGCAAUAUAGGCUCAAGCUAGGUAUUACUAUCUCUAGGUUUAACCUUUUAAUUAAGGCUAUCAAUCUCUUGAUUACACCCCAAUCCCUUGUUGAACUGAUUUUCCUAUACUCAAGCUCUCUUUCUCAAGAAGAACCCAAAUCAAAUAGGCACAAAUUCGUAUUUGCAAAACUAAUUCAACAUGGAAAAUAAAAAUCAGUCUAAAUAUCAACUACCCAUAAACAUCUAAGACUUAAAACAAAAGACCCAUCAAAUACCCACACUAGGGUUGAGCCACAACCCUAGAUAGUGGGUCUAGCUAUUCAUAAUAAUGGAAGAAAAUAGAGAUAUAAAAGAAGAAUAACCCAUAUAAUUUGAUUACAAACUAAGAUAAUGAGGAUUCAGUGUUAAACUAGUUACAAAUUACUCAAAAUGGAACAAAACCGCCGUUCACGUGCUCUAGAGUCUUGCAGAUUACAAAAGAUACCUAAAAAUGUAAAAAGAAAGUAUUUAUACUAAGCCAAAUUUUCUGGACAAAAAUACCCCUGACGGAGGUACUGCGGUCUGCAUAAAAUGCACCGCGGACUACGAUGAGGCUUUUUGGCUUGACUUUCCAUUUUCUGAAUCUGGCCACCGCGAGCCGCAUAAAAUGCACCGCAGCUGUGGUGGCUUCACUGCGGUCCGCAUAAAAUGGACCACGGACCGCAAAGGGUUUGAUCUUCAAAACUUCCAACUCUCUGAAUCCCCCUCUUCGCGGAUCGCAUAAAAUGGAUUGUGGCCGCGAAGAGGCUUUUGCGACCGCGAGAAAUCCUCCGCGGACCGCACUGCUUUAAGCUCCAAACGUGCACCUCUCUGAACUUUAUCCACCACAGACCACACUAAAUGGUCUGCAGCUGCGGUGGGUCUGUUGCAGCUAUAAUUGAUUUUAUUCAACUGCAGUGCCUUGACUUGUUCUUGGUACUUAUGCAUGUUUCACUCCUUUUUGAGCUGGUUUUGACUACUUGUCACCUUUUUGACCAAACCCUACAAAUAAGUACAACAUGUAAGACUUUGGGACUAUUUGUAUGCAUUUUUAAUCAAAACUCAAGUAAAAGAAGUGUAAUAUGAACUAGAAUCCCUAGUUAUCAGCUCCACUCAGCGUUUUACUUGCGUGGUAUAUUAGAUGCAUGGUUUUAUCUUUUUGCUGCCCAAGAAAUGCUCCCACAACAUAGUCACUCUCAUCACACAUCAACUCAAAUGAUUGCUCUCAGUCGGGGGCAACUAUGAUAGGUGUUGUUAUUAGAAUCUUCUUUAAUUCCUCAAAAGCUACCCUGCAGCCAUCAGAAAACACAAAAGGAUGAUCUUUUUCAAGCAAUUUACAUAAGGGAUUAGCAAUUUUGGAAAAAUCUUUUAUAAAUCUCCUAUAAAAAUUAGCGUGCCCAAGGAACCUUCUGAUUGCUUUGAAAUAAAAGGGUGGUGGAAGCUUUUCUAUCACAUAAACCUUUGCACAAUCCACCUCAAUACCUUUACUUGACACUAAGUGCCCCAAUACUAUACCUUUAUGUACCAUGAAAGGGUACUUUUCCCAAUUGAGUACCAGAUUAGUCUCGAUACACCUUUCCAAAACCCUUCUCAAGUUCACAAGGCAAUCAUCGAAUAAGUUCCCCACCACUGAUAAGUCAUCUAUGAAAACCUCCAUUAUCGCUUCUACCAUAUUUGUAAAGAUGGCCAUCAUGCACCUUUGGAAUGUGGAGGGUGCAUUGCAUAGGCCAAACAGCAUUCGUCGAAAAGCAUAGAUUCCAUAAGGGCAAGUGAACAAUGCUUUCUCUCUAUCCUCCAGGGCAAUAGAAAUCUGACUAUACCCCGAGUACCCAUCCAAAAAGCAAAAGUGAGACCUCUCUGCCAAUCUAUCUAGCAUCCGAUCAAUGAAUGGCAGUGGGAAAUGGUCCUUCCUGGUAGCCAAGUUCAACUUCCUGUAAUCCAUACAGAUUCGCCAACCUGUGACUGUUCGUGUAGAGAUCAAUUCGUUCUUCUCAUUUUUUACUACCGUCAUAUAUCCCUUUUUUGGUACACACUGAACUGGGCUAACCGAGUUGCUGUCAAAGAUGGGGAAUAUGAUUCCCGCAUCUAACCACUUGACCACUUCUUUCUUCUUGGGGUUCAGCUUUCUUUGAUGUUCUCUGGAAGGUUUGUGCCCAUCUUCCAGUAAAAUCUUAUGUAUAAAGAAGGCCGGGAUGAUCCCCUUAAUGUCUGCAAUGGUCCACCCAAUUGCAGUCAUGCACUCAAUCAGUACCUGCAAAAACUAUUCUGCGUGCACAUCUAAUAAACUGGAUGAGAUAAUAAUAGGUAGAGUUGAGUUAGGUCCUAAGAAUGCAUAUCUGAGAUAAGAUGGCAGUGGUUUUAAUUCCAACUUUAGUGGCUCUUCUAUUGAUGGCUUAGCUUGAGGAGUUUUUCUUUCCUCUAAGUGCCAGGGCUCAAAUUCGAGUUCCCUUCUCUAAAACCCUUGCUCUUCAAGAAAAAGUACCCACUCUGCUAAAUCUUCACCAUUCGCUUCAUCUAAGUUCAUGAGACAGGCUGCUAAAGGGUCUUUAAUGUUCAAUGCCUCAUCUUCCUCCUCCAAAACUACAUCCACCACAUCUAUUAGAAUAAUUAGCAAAUUCACUUGGUCUCCACAUAGAUUUAUGCACGUUGAAUGUUAUCUCUUCAUCGUUUAAUCUCAUCUUGAGCUCUCCAAUUUCACAAUAAAUUAAAGCUCUCCCAGUAGCCAAGAAUGGUCUUCCCAAAAUUAUGGGAAUUUCCUCGUCAACCCGACAAUCGAGGAUGACAAAAUCUGCCGGGAACACAAACUUCCCAACCUGUACCAAUACAUCAUCUAGAAUCCCAGAGGGCCUCUUCACUGUACGAUCAGCCUGCUGUAGUAACAUAGACGUGGAUUUAGCUCUUCCAAUGCCUAGCCUUUUGCAGAUAGCCAGGGGCAUAAGGUUUAUGCUUGCUCCUAGAUCACACAGUGCCCUAGCAAAUGCAAAGUUGCCUAUGGUGCAAGGGAUUAUGAAACUCCCUAGGUCAAACAGCUUUUCAGCUAUGGGUCUUGUCACAACAGUACUGCAAGUCUGAGUCAGAGUAACCGUGGCCAAGUAUUGAAAGUCAAACUUGUGGGACAUCUAGUCCUUCAUCAUCUUCGCAUAAACAGGCAUCUCCUUUAAGGCAUCAAUUAAUAGAAUGCUUACCUGAAUUUGCUUCAACAUCUCCAAGAAUUUCUUGUACUGCUCAUCUUUCUGAUACUUGGCCAAUCUCUAUGGGAAUGGAGUUGGAGGUCACUUCUUCCCUAUGAUUUGAUUUUUCUCUUUUUCAAACACUUCUUCUAGUGUCGGUUCUGGUGUAACCUCAGUCUCUUUCACAACCUCUUCUUUUUUAUUAGUGUUCUCUUGCGCAUGUUGUACCGUCACCUCAGUUAACCCUGCUGAAUCACCUAUCUCAAUGGGUAUUGGAACUAGUGUCUCAGUCGGUCUGCCGUCAUGAGCAAUUUCUUGCUCCUGAUCUAAGUCUAUACCAUUUCGGAAACUUAUUUCCAUUAGCUGCUUUGGGCCCUGCUUUUUUGGAUAGAUUUGGGUAUCUGCAGGUAACGUCCCAUGAGGACGAUUAUUUAGGGCCAUGGAAAUCUGUUCUAAUUGGAUCCCAAUAUUCUUUAUCGCUAACUCAUGUGAGUCUACUCUUUCAGUUAAUUUUCUAGUGGACCCAAUCACUUGUUGCAUCAUUACCUCAAGUUUAGCAAACACAUCUUCAUGUCUCACAGUCUGUUGUCGUGGAGGUUGUUGAUAAGCCUGCUGCUGAUUUUGCUGGUUGUAACCUUGUUGCCUUUGGUAAGGCACCAUUUGGCCCUGUGGUCGCAUAGCCCCAUGGUUAUUUUUGUUGUUCUACUGCUGCUGAGCUGGUCUAUAUUGUUGAUUUUGUUAACCCCAAUUUUGACCACAUGGUCUCGAUCCCCCGUAGUUGGCCACAUAAUUCAUCUUCUCCUGAUAUUAUUGGUUAUCACUUUCAGCAUUCCACGAGCAGACAUGUGGUUGAUUAAUGCAUGGUGUGCAUAAACCCCCAUUAGUUACAACAACUAUGUGUACCUGCUACUUCUGGCCUGAUUCAUCAACCUUUUUGGUGAGGAUGCUCAUUUGUGUCAAUAGAGUGGCCAUAUUUUCAGCUAUGGAGUUGGUCUGGUCUAACGCCACUAAGUGAACCACAUGAGUGAUUGGAGCGUUUCUUGUCGUCCAUCCUGAGUUUUAUAUCAUCUUGUCAAGUAGGAUCUUGCUCUCUCUAAAUGUUUUGCUAAAAAUGAUCCACCUAUUGAAGCAUCAACAUUGGCUUUCAAACUAUCUGCCAAACCCAUAUAAAAUCUCUGCCCUAACAUCUGCUCCGGAAUACCAUGAUGUGGACACGUAACGAGAAGACCCUUGAAUCUCUCCUACGUUUCUUGUAACAUCUCUGUUGGUUUCUGUUUGAAGCUCAAUAUCUCAUCAAUUCGCUGAGCAGUCUUGUUGGGUAGGUGAAAUUUGUUCACAAAUUGCUUGACUAAUUCCUCCCAAGUAGUGAUGGAUUUUGUGGGGAGUGAAUUAAGCCAAGUCUGAGCUGCUCCUGUCACUGAGAAUGGAAACAACAACAGACGUAUUGCUUCCGGUGUCACGUUAUGUUGCCUCUAUGUGGCAUAGAUUGACAGGAAAUUCUUUAGAUGCUACUGAGGAUCUUCAACGUAUAACCUAGAGAACAAUCAUUUGUUCUGCAACAAAUGUAGCAUGUUAUUUAUGAUCUUGAAUGAAUCUCCUUGUAUCCGAAGGACUAUAAUGGCAGUUGCUAAGUUGUCACUGGUGGGUUGUGCCCAAUCAUAUAGUGCUUCUUCUGGCACAAGGGGUACACACCCUGAUCAUUUAGGUCAUUCACGUUGUGUGUAUUGUUUGGAUUAUCGUCUUCCAUGUCUGGUUCAAUUUGUUCAGUUGAGUUCUAUUGUUGUUUGCCUUUCCUGUUUGCUCGAUUCAAUGCCUUGAAAACUUUCUCAGGAUCUGAUAAUGUUUCAAACAAUUCACCAGUUCUUGAGGAGUUUCUAGCAUGCACCUGUAACAACCUUGACAACAAACGUUAGAAUUUCAAUGAUCAGUUUAAAUUGAAGAAAAUUGACUACACUAAGAAUUUUUACACUUCUUUUCACUGCAAUUAAUAACACCGUUAAUUCCCCAGCAAUGGCGCCAAAAUUUGAUAAUGCCCAACCAUGCCUUAUAAAAAGGACAAAGCGGUCACCGCAAAUAUAUUUUAGUUAACAAGUCCGGAGUCGAAUCCCAUAGGGAAUUAACCUAUCAAUCACAGCUAUUAGAAAUUCAAGUAUUCAAUCUUCAGAGAUAUUUGAGUAACAAAUUGGAUGUUUAAUAACUAAAUAUUACGUAAUAAAAAUGCAGUAACUAAGAACUAGCUAUAAACGGUUUGAAUGCAAGAAUGGGAAUGUUCUAAGGUUCUAACUUCCCCUAUUGUCGGAAUCCUUUCCGCUAUGUUUGCUAUAAAUUUGCCUAAGUCUUCUCUAUCGAUCAUGAGCACUCUAACUGUCGUAACUCUCUCUCGAGUAAUUACAACAAUAUACUAGACAUAUUCUCCCGACUAGCUAUCUUUACGUACAACUUACUUAGAUCGCACCCAAGGUUUCGUUAUCCCUAAUCUCACCUUUAAACAUUUCGUAUUGAUCCCUCAUAUACGUUAGGAGUGAUGAUGUUCAACAACUACCUAAAUAUGCACUCUCUCCUGAGUAAUGCACACUAAAUAUGAACCGCUAAUUGAGGGCCUUUCAAUCAAUAGCAAUAAACAUAUAGUUGAACAAAUAGAGAUAAUACUAUGGCAAAUCUAUAUUAACAUAACGAGAAAAUCAUCCUUCAACAGGUUCCAUCAAAACCCUAGAUUAUGAGUUUUGCUACUCAUACUCAUAGUACGAAUAUCCAAAGUAAUUUGCAUAAUUAAAUUACAGAGUAAGGAUAAAGAGAUUUAGAAAUCAAUGAAUCCAACUCCCAAGUAGUGUUCCACGAGCUAUUCUUGCCUUCAGUUGCAAAAGUCCUUAAAAGUGGCAUUUUUGGGUCUAUUUAUAUGUUUGGGACAAGCCCUAAACGUGUAGGUUAACUUCUAGUCAAACCGUAAAACACUUAAAAUCUUCAAAACUUAGAUUGGGCCUGGCCUUAGGCCUGGCGUUACCUAGAUAACGCCAGUCUAGGCCUGGCUUUAAACUGGCCUCGCCUGGAUAAUGCCAGCCUAGGCCUGACUUUAAGCUGGCCUCACCAGGAUAAAGCCUGAUUAGGCCUGGCUUUGAGCUGGACUCACCUGGAUAAAGCUUGGUUAGGCUUGGCUUUAAGCUGGCCUCACUUGGAUAAAGCCUGGUCGAGCUGGCUUUUGCUCGGCUUCUCCUUUUUACCGUUCUCGAGCGCAGUUUCGAUGUUUAAGCAUUCCUUUAGAUCUACUUUUAUUUCUGAUGCACCUACACAUAAAAUAACCUCCAUUACGCUCAAACAAAGUAUAUUUUAACAUUAAAGCAUGUAAAACGCAAAUCAUAUAAUGUGCAAAAACCAUGAAUUAUAGCCACACAUCAAUAUACUAAUAUAAUAUUGUUUACCUCGAAAAUACGAGUAACAAUUAAAUUUGAUUUGUGGUUUUAAAGAUAUGUGAUCUAGUUCAAUACUAAUUAAUAAUCAAGAAAUCUGAAGUAUAGAUGAAAGAAAUAAGUAAGAUCAAACCAAUAGAUGAGUUAGUCUCAACCUCGAGCCUAACUAACCUCGAGAUUAGUCAAGAACAAUAAAGCAAAAUCAAUAAAGCUAAAGGACAAUUCUGAUGAACAAUGAGCGAGAAAAGUAGGAAAGUGUAUUCUUUGCCAAUGAUUAGAUGAUGGUUACAAAUGAUUGGGGCCCCUUUAUAUAAUAGAGGAACCCUAAAUAAGGUACAUUUCUAUUUACAGUAAGGAAUCUUAUUGUGACGGCUGUCUAACCGUCUAGUACGGAUUAGUACUAACUCGUACAAAUCUAUUUCGGAAUUUAUGCCAUGAUCUUAGGGACGUGGCAGGAAUCUUGCUCAUACUGUUACAAACUCGUAACAGCAUUAUCUCGAGGCCAGUCACGUUUAACCUUGAUGUUCAUCGGACACUUUGAUCUUCGAAGCCUCCUAUCGAGCUCGCUCCUGGUCUAUUUUGAUCUCGCUCUUGAAGUGACCCUCGAGCUCACGAAAUCGGGUAGCCCCAAUUUCUACUGUAUACAGAUAGUCCCCGCGUUUUUUAGAGUAUAACGACAAGAAACAAAUUGAGUCAUUGAAUUUUACCCCGAUUUGCCACAACAUCAUCAUCGUAACGCAAGCGACUGAUGCUUUCUGAUCUUUUUCCUUUGCCUAAUUACAUCAUAAUUAGGUACUUUGUAGGUACUUUCAGCAUAAAAUAGCCUCGGAAAAUAUUGAAAUUGCACAAGAGCCUGCUCCACAUAAUGUGGAAGAGGAGUAUUUUGAUCAGACCAGAUUCACAGCUGCUGAAUGUGAAAGAAACUAUGACAAACUCAUGUCAAAGAGCAUCGUCAAAGAAAGGGGCAUCCAUUUAGACAAACUUAAGGCUAAGAUGGCGGAUCUUUUCCGAAGAUUAACUGACAGUGGAUGGAUGUGCUUUCCUCCUGAACCAUUUAAAGCGAACUACAUAGUAGUUCGUAAGUUCUAUGCCAAUGCCUUGAAGACAGAUUUCCAAGGGGAAAUAUUUACCUUUAUUAGGGGCAAGCGGGUCAACUUUGGUCCCGACGUAAUAAAUUCACAUUAUAUGCUUCCCAAAUGAUGACAAUGAGGUAUACAGAGCCAGAGCAAGGGAGAUAGAAAGCCAAUGGUUGGUGGAGAAGCUUCAUGAAGGGGUAAAACCGCUUGGAAAAGAUUACAUAAAGGGGUUGAUUCUUCUGAAUUCACAGCUGAAGCCAAGACUUGGCUGUCCAUUAUUUGUGCCAGAAUCGUGCCGACUAGAUGUAGACAUGCAAUAUUUGACCCUCCCCGAGAUUUUACACAUUUUAGCUUUUAAAUAUUUAGUUUAGGUCUAAUAUCGCUAUUUUAAUUAGUUUUGACUCUUUUACUUUAUUUUACUACAAUGAUGAAAAGUACAAAAAUAUUUUCUUUUAUUUAGAUAAUUGUUAUUUUAUCUAGUUACUUUUAGUUAAUCUACCUUUCAUAAAAUUAAAAAAAGAAUACAAAAAUAGUAUUGAUAUUUAUUUUUCCAAAAAAGGAUAAGAAGAAAUAUUUAGGACUAAUUUUGUCUUGUUUUUUUAUGUGAGAAGACUAUUAUUUUGAGCUUGACUUAGCCCAAAAGAGGCCCAAAUCCAGCCAAGCCCAAAUCCCUAACCCUUACAUCCUAGCCUUUUCUUUAUUUUAAUCCAAUGGUCCAUAUUCCCCUAUACCCCCAUAUAAACUCUAUCGUCCACAAAAAUGACCUAACCGUAGAACCCCUAAUCUAUAAGAACGGACAACAACUUCAAUAUAUACACACACGAACGUAGAAAGGGAAGGGAACGCUCAUCAUUCUCUGGCUCUAAGAAGCAGCCGCACCCCUUGUCUCUUUGCAAAAAUGCCGAAAUCCGGCGAGUCAUCAGCCACAGGCGAUGCUGCUCUAACACCCAGCGUCCCAUCUCCUCUCCAAGCCACCUCUGCCAUCUCUUAACCCAAACUCGCUGCAAUUCCUCCACACCAGCGUUACACCACCAUCAUAACACCAUUCGUCUUCAAAAACAUUCACAAUAUUUGAUCAAGCAGUCACUCUUCUUAAUCACCAACCAAUUUGUCAUACCUUCAUCACCACUAAAAACUCCAAUAAAAAUAGAGUUUCGUCGCAUGGAGUUUGAUUGAAGUUUCUGUCAGAUUUUUGAAGUUGUAUUUGGAUUUGUUUUCGAUUAGUGUUGGUCAUUUGAGAGUUUGAAGGUGAGUUUGUUGUUGAAGCUCUCCAGUUCGCUGUUUAAGAUCCGAUCCAUGUUUUCGCUUUCCAACAAGAUUUUAACCGGAGUUCGUUGUUGCAUUUUAAUACCUUCGAAGUUGAUGUACCAGAAUUGGAGUUGUUCUUAUUAAUAGUGAAGACAACAUUCUGCUUGAGGUCCAAUUCUUUAGUUCUCUGCUCAAUUUAUCUUAUUUUAAACUUAUGUGUUGUUUGUGGUGAAAUGUUUGUUUGAUCCAUGUUAAUCAUAUGUU
rnacentral:lncRNA from 1 species